GGGUGUGGCUCAGUGGUAGAGCGCUCACCUAACAUGUGUGAGGCACUGGGUUCAUUCCCCAGCACCACA
rnacentral:tRNA from 1 species